UGUAUACGAGCAGAAGCCGUACCGUGAGGAGCGGUGGAUUGUAUAGAAGUGAGAAUGCCGGUGUGAGUAGCGAGAUGUAGGUGAGAAUCCUACACACCGAAAGCCCAAGGAUUCCAGGGGAAGGUUCGUCCGCCCUGGGUAAGUCGGGACCUAACGCGAGGCCGAAAGGCGUAGUGGAUGGAAAGCAGGCGAAAGAUUCCUGCACCCGUAUAUGGAGCGAAGGAGUGACGGAGACGGAUAGUGUGACCCUCUUAAUGAUUGAGGGCGAAGCGAAGCGGCUGGUUACCAGGCAAAUCCGGUAACCAUAAGGCCAGAUCGUGACAGGUAAGCGAAAUCUUAGGAAAGUAGCGAAGCACAUGAUGACGGCUUCCAGGAAAAGCUUCUGGCAAUGCAUAUGCGGCCCGUACCAAAACCGACUCAGGUGGGCAGGGAGAGAAUCCCGAGGUGAGCGAGAGAACUGUUGCCAAGGAACUCGGCAAAAUGACUCCGUAAGUUAGCGAGAAGGAGUGCUUAAGCAAUUAAGCCGCAGUGAAGAGGCCCAAGCGACUGUUUAACUAAAACACAGCUCUCUGCGAAGUCGCAAGACGAAGUAUAGGGGGUGACACCUGCCCGGUGCUGGAAGGUUAAGAGGAUCUGUUAAGAGCGAUCUGAAGCAGUGAUCCGAAGCCCCAGUGAACGGCGGCCGUAACUAUAACGGUCCUAAGGUAGCGAAAUUCCUUGUCAGGUAAGUUCUGACCCGCACGAAAGGUGUAACGAUUUGGGCGCUGUCUCGGCAGCAGACUCGGUGAAAUCUUAGUACCUGUGAAAAUGCAGGUUACCCGCAACUAGACGGAAAGACCCCAUGGAGCUUUACUGCAGCCCGAUAUUGAAUUCUGGUCAUACAUGUACAGGAUAGGUGGGAGACGAAGAGACGUGCACGCCAGUGUACGAGGAGUCGACGUUGGGAUACCACUCUUGUGUGACUGGGGUUCUAACCUGGUAUCGAGAACAGGUACGGGGAGAGUGUCAGGUGGGCAGUUUGACUGGGGCGGUCGCCUCCCAAAGAGUAACGGAGGCGCCCAAAGGUACGCUCAGAUUGGAUGGAAACCAAUCGUCGAGUGCAAUUGCAGAAGCGUGCUUGACUGUGAGACAGACAAGUCGAACAGGGACGAAAGUCGGGAAUAGUGAUCCGGCGGUGCCGAAUGGAAGGGCCGUCGCUCAACGGAUAAAAGCUACCCUGGGGAUAACAGGCUGAUCUCGCCCAAGAGUUCACAUCGACGGCGAGGUUAGGCACCUCGAUGUCGGCUCAUCGCAUCCUGGAGCUGGAUUCGGUUCCAAGGGUUGGGCUGUCCGCCCAUUAAAGCGGUACGCGAGCUGGGUUCAGAACGUCGUGAGACAGUUCGGUCCCUAUCUGUUGUGGGCGAAGGAGAUCUGCGGAGAGCUGUCCUCAGUACGAGAGGACCGGGAUGGACCUACCGCUGGUGCACCGGUUGUUCCGCCAGGGGCAUAGCCGGGUAGCUAAGUAGGGAAAGGAUAAGCGCUGAAAGCAUCUAAGCACGAAGCCUACUCCAAGAUGAGAUCUCCCAUUCGCAAGAAGUAAGACCCCUUAAAGACGAUAAGGUAGAUAGGCCAGGGAUGGAAGUGCAGUGAUGUACGGAGUUGACUGGUACUAAUCGGUCGAGGACUUAAUC
rnacentral:rRNA from 1 species